CUCCAUGUGUAGCGGUGGAAUGCGUAGAUAUAUGGAAGAACAGCAGUGGCGAAGGCGGCUGUCUGGUCUGCAACUGACGCUGAGGCUCGAAAGCAUGGGUAGCGAACAGGAUUAGAUACCCUGGUAGUCCAUGCCGUAAACGAUGAGUGCUAGGUGUUGGAGGGUUUCCGCCCUUCAGUGCCGAAGCUAACGCAUUAAGCACUCCGCCUGGGGAGUACGACCGCAAGGUUGAAACUCAAAGGAAUUGACGGGGUCCCGCACAAGCGGUGGAGCAUGUGGUUUAAUUCGAAGCUACGCGAAGAACCUUACCAGGUCUUGACAUCUUGCGCUAACCUAAGAGAUUAGGCGUUCCCUUCGGGGACGCAAUGAC
rnacentral:rRNA from 1 species